CCUACGGGUGGCAGCAGUGGGGAAUAUUGGACAAUGGGCGAAAGCCUGAUCCAGCCAUGCCGCGUGUGUGAAGAAGGCCUUCGGGUUGUAAAGCACUUUCAGUGGGGAAGAAAGCCUUGGGGCUAAUACCCUCGAGGAAGGACAUCACCCACAGAAGAAGCACCGGCUAACUCCGUGCCAGCAGCCGCGGUAAUACGGAGGGUGCGAGCGUUAAUCGGAAUUACUGGGCGUAAAGCGCGCGUAGGCGGUCUGAUAAGCCGGUUGUGAAAGCCCCGGGCUCAACCUGGGAACGGCAUCCGGAACUGUCAGGCUAGAGUGCAGGAGAGGAAGGUAGAAUUCCCGGUGUAGCGGUGAAAUGCGUAGAGAUCGGGAGGAAUACCAGUGGCGAAGGCGGCCUUCUGGACUGACACUGACGCUGAGGUGCGAAAGCGUGGGUAGCAAACAGGAUUAGAUACCUGGUAGUC
rnacentral:rRNA from 1 species